GCUGACAAGACCACUCAGCACCGUUUCUCAGGGGUUACCCGGGAAGAGGGCCCCCACAAGCAGGAGGACAAGGGAGUAUACUAGAGGGUGUGAUGGAAUAAUUAGAAGGCCGAGAGAGAGAAGCACAGGAUGAAAAAAAAAUUCAAGGAACGAUUUGCUGCAGUACUUAAGCCACAGAAUCCAGGGAUAAACAAACCAGUCUGUAGCCUCUGAAGGAGGGAAGAGAUUUUGAGACAUGUUGAUUAUACCGCUAACUCUGAAGCUUGUGAAAUACUUCACUGAAUUAAGAAAUACCAGGGGCUGAGAAGUACUUCUGGCCGAAGGUUUAAUCCAUCCGGGCCAGAAAGACCACAGCACCAAGAGGGAGGUGGCUGGCUAAGAGCCUCUCACUGCACCGCCAUCGGCCCUCACUGGAUUCCACUUCGGGAGCUGAGUCCCCUCCACCCACCACAUCUGGCUGUGCUCAAGGCAUUGGAUUUAACGCCUAUACCUGUGGAUGUGUGCGAGGGAGCAACUGCUGACCAGAGAAACAGCUUUAGGCACCUCCAAGAAACUGCACUGGAACAUCGCUGAGAGAAACUGCUUUGGAAUCCUGCCUUCCGGUGUCUGUACUGUCUUAAACACGAGGCACGAGGGUUUCGGCCCGUCUCAUUACUGAAGCCAGAACACGUCACACAAUAAACAAGUACAUUCGAAGUAGAUGUAGCCCCUCUUUUUCCUCUCAAAAACUGUUACUAUGACAAGGAUACAUCGGCAUCUGCCAACUGAGAAUUCAGUAAACACCAAAUAAAGACAACAUGUUCCUUGGA